GGCGCGGAGGAGAGGGCGGCUCUGAGCGGACCUGCCCGGCUGCGCCCGAGACGGACGCUCCGCUGCCCCUGCGCCUUGAGGGCCCGACGGGAAAAGGCGACGCUCGCUUCGUGGAGGAGCCCGGCCGCGGACAGAUGUAACUCUUAUGGACAGGUGGCUACUGAAACUGAGCUGUGGUGGUUCCUUAAAUUGAAACCUAUAUAAGCGUGAUAGCGGGGGACAUUGUCUUCGUACCUGGAACGCCGGAAGAACCCGCACUGCGCAGAGAAGGAAAAGAACACUUCAGGUCUAAGGUACUGCCACAGUCCUACAGCUGUAGAGGCAGUAAAUUCUUCCUUCACACAAAUAUGCAGUGAACCGUUCCCUUACGGGCAUGCGGGGCUGCCUGGGGGAGCUGUGAUUGCUGUGCGGAGCCAGCAGAGGGCUGAGCCACCCACUGUAAAUAGCCCGGCUGUGCUGCAGGGGAUUCCUGUUGGGUCCCAAAGGGCACCUGAGAGCCAGCAGGAUUCUGAGGUCAAGGUACACUGAUAAUUUUAACACUGAAAGCAGAAGUGCGACUAGAGCUGUCCAGUUGUGUGCUGAGAUGUGUUUUACUAGAUCUGAAUUUGGUGCAUCUUUUAAUGAUUGCUUCAACGAGCUCAUCCUGUGCUGCACAGGUGGAAACGGCCCCGAGUGUGCCGAGGCACUGAGAGCUGCAAGCACUUCACCUGCUGAAGGACCAGCACCUCAUUCGGAUUUUAAAAAUAACUCAGAAACUCAAGACACCACAGGAGAAAAAGGGUCAUUUGACUUAAAGUUCUUCUCAUUUCCUCUCAAAAUCCUACACAGUUCUCCAAGAGGUAGUAAGAGCAGCAUUAUAGCAAGUGCUUUACAUUUUUGUGGCACAGUCUUCCCCUAUUAAUGCAGAUUUUUUUAUUUCAGUUAAUUUCCACAAAACUAUUUUCUUGAAUACAGGAUAAGUUCAUAGGGUAAGCCUCCAAUAAGAAAUAAUGCUCACUGAGAAUAUAUAAAAUGGGCCUUAAAAAUUAUUCUCUAAAGCAGCACUAACCUAGAGAGGCAAAACAGUUUGGAUCUGUAUAGCAGCCAUUUGCUCACUGGCAGUUGUAAUACUUAGAAAGCUUUAGUCUGUCAUCCACAGAACAGAUUAACACACCAGCAUGACUCUAAAUACAGACUGUGCAACAGCUGAGCUUAGCACUGAGUCACAUUUUAAAUUUGUCAGUCACUGUCUGAGAUGAAUCACUAUAAUUUGAGCGAUAUUUUUCCAUUAUAAACUCUAAAAAAAAAAAAAAAAAAAAAAAAGCCAAACCUUGUGACAAACAGAAAAAUAUUUAUCUUCAGAACUUACUUAUUCUUGGAUUUAAAUCUCUGGGGUUUGCAGUAUAUUUAAAACAUGCUUUCACAUCCAUCCUGUAAAAAGUGCCAAGAAAUUAGUAUUAAUGUUUAAUAAGGCACGGUCCAAGAGAAUGAAAAGUUUUAGCUGAUCAGUCUUACAACUGUAAUAUUUGCUGCUUACUAGAGUGAAUUACAAAGCAAGAAAAAAUGGUUAAUAAGCAAUUAAGCAUUUGUUCUUAUAUGUUUACUCAAAACAAAGCUUUUCAAGCCAAGAUACUUGUGUUAAAAGUCUGAAGAGGCAAGGUGACAUUCAUUUUCAAAAGUGAACAUUAGGAAAAGGACACAUUCCACAUCUUGUCUUUAGCACAGUAGCCUGAAGAAUUCAGAAGUCAGAAUAAACAUAUGCAGGUUCAUUUGCUUAACCUGCAUGGCUCUCAUAUGCCCUUCACUUAAACAUGAUCACUGAAUGACUUUUGACAGCAGAAAGCUCAAUACACCAAGGCUUCUGAUAGAGUAAUUUCAUUUACCUUAUUUCACCAUGGUCUUCAGAGUAUUUUUUCUUUAGAUCAAUUCUAUCAGGCUGUACUGUAAUGUUUCUUCUAAUGCUUAUCACAGGUCGAGAUCUUCAUUUAGGGGAAAAAAUGGGGAAUAAAAAGAAGAUAUAAAAAAAGAUGUAAUUUCUGUUAAGAUUAAUGAAAUAAUUAAUGUGAAUAUCAGAGUCCCUCCACAGAUUUGUUUUAUUGAUUUGCAACAAAGACACCCCAAGAAACAGAGUUUGGCUUUUAUAAUGGUUAGAAAAAAACUGAAAAGUUAUUAAAAGUUAAGUAAAGCAAAGGUCACCAAGAACAACUACAGAUCCUGAUGGGGAAGCAGGCUACACUAAUGUGAUGCUGUUGUCAUUCUAUACACUAACAAAAAACAGAAAAUUCAGUGAUGGUUUCUACCACCAGUAGUAAUUCAGCUCCUGUGAACAGCUACAGGUACUACAGUUCAUUCAGAUUCAUGUUCACAAGAGCUGUAAUAUGGAGCCUGGUGGCUGUGGGAAAUGAUGUUUUCAUUUCCUGCUUCCUCUACAUGUAGGCUUUAGCCAUACUUUUGCCUGACAACUCUCUCUUCCUUUUCUAGAAGGGAAAAGAUAUUUCACAUGAACAACGGAAUGAGCUGAUCCUGCUAUUAAAGCACCCAAAGGUUGUUUAAAAUAGCUGGCCAGAGAAAGAAGAGGGAAGAGAUACAAUGAAGUAGGACCUGUGAAAUAGGACCUCUGUGUUCCCUUCAGCUAAAGGACCCUGAAGUUCCAAGAUGAUUUGCUCUUCUUUCAAGAAAUCAAUUGGCAAUAACAUGUCACACGAAGACACAGCUGCCUGAGAGGCAGCUGACUGAAACUAGUAGCAACCAGUGUGCAGUAGUUUGUGGAAGCAACGUCACACUCAGCUGAAACACCAAGGAUGAGAGAACAGUGUGUGGAUAGUGAGACUACAUCCCUCUCUCUAGCCCAAUGACCUUUUACAGCAGACCAUGAUCCUGACAACAAGAGAGGACCUGCUGAAGCACGGAGCGAAUAAACAGCGCAGCCAACAGAAUACGGAGUGGGAAGAUGUGCCACCUGCCAUAAAAUGCCACCAACGUUCAGUGGCAUCUCAGAUACUGCUGAGGUCAGCAGAUGAAAAAUGAAAUUGCUCAGCCUUCUUAAAAACUGUAAGGCUUCCAUCCAACACAAUCUCAAAGGAAACAGGCAACCUUAGAUUCUUCCCAAUCCCCACUGCCCUCCCAUUCAAAUAUCGCCUACGGUAUUUUCCACUGUAAACAAAGAAUUUCAAAACAGACUUAUUUAAAACAUUCCAGAUUUCAAACAACUGUUAUCAAGAAUCCUGGUUCAUCAAAUACAAAAACUUGAAUUCUCUUGGGUACUUCAUUGCAAGUUCUUACAACACAGACCAAGAGAAGUACACACUUUAAGUGCUCACAAAGGAUUAGAUCAGUUCAAGUAUAAUACUAUGGUAAAUCCUGAAAUGUAUUUUCAAGUAGCAACCAAAGAUCCAUUAGAAAGUGGCACAACUCCUGUGUACUUGUUUACUGCUUUUAUGCCCUAAAGACCAGAACAGAGAAGACUAAACCUAUGCCCCUGGGUUCUGCAAGGUUACUGAAGGUGAUGAUUAUAAACAUCAUGAGGAUUAUUAACACUAUGAGGAAUCUAAGUAAGAAAGUCACAUGCAUCUAAUCUUUGGCUGGAUAAAUCAAGCAAAACAAAAAAUUCCUUGCAAACACACUGUUAUUUCUGAUCAACAGAGCUGUUGUUCAGCUUGCCUACCUAAAAUCAAAAUUCUAUUAUAAAAGCCAAAUGACUUAAUUUAAAAAUAAGAAAUGUGCACAGAACUGUGGAAGUAUGACAUGAACCAUGGAUCAGUGUGAAUUUCAGCAUGACUGCAGUAGUACAAAUAAAUCAGCUCAUAUACUGAGCUGUGUUACGUGCUCAACGGAGUCCUUCCAGAGAGAGGACACA